UGCAGUCGGAGGUAACAUGAGGUGCUUGCACUUUGAUGACGAGUGGCGCACGGGUGCGCAACGCGUAUAGAACCUACCCUGUACAGGGGGAUAGCCCAGAGAAAUUUGGAUUAAUACCCCGUGGUAAAUAUAAAUGGCAUCAUUUAUAUUUUAAAGUUUUCGGACGGUACAGGAUGGCUAUGCGUCCUAUUAGUUAGAUGGUGAGGUAACGGCUCACCAUGGCAGCGAUAGGUAGGGGCCCUGAGAGGGGGAUCCCCCACACUGGUACUGAGACACGGACCAGACUCCUACGGGAGGCAGCAGUGAGGAAUAUUGGACAAUGGGCGCAAGCCUGAUCCAGCCAUGCCGCGUGCAGGAAGACGGCCCUAUGGGUUGUAAACUGCUUUUAUACGGGAAGAAUAAGGGACACGUGUGUCCUGGUGACGGUACCGUAAGAAUAAGGACCGGCUAACUCCGUGCCAGCAGCCGCGGUAAUA
rnacentral:rRNA from 1 species